ACAUGAACUAGCUUGCUAGUUUGAUGACGAGUGGCGGACGGGUGAGUAAUGCUUGGGAAUUUGCCUUUAGGUGGGGGACAACAGUUGGAAACGACUGCUAAUACCGCAUGAUAGCUACGGCUCAAAGGGGGCUUCGGCUCUCGCCUUUAGAGAAGCCCAAGUGGGAUUAGGUAGUUGGUGAGGUAAAGGCUCACCAAGCCGACGAUCCCUAGCUGGUCUGAGAGGAUGAUCAGCCACACUGGAACUGAGACACGGUCCAGACUCCUACGGGAGGCAGCAGUGGGGAAUAUUGCACAAUGGGCGCAAGCCUGAUGCGGCCAUGCCGCGUGUGUGAAGAAGGCCUUCGGGUUGUAAAGCACUUUCAGCGAGGAGGAAGGUUAAGUAGUUAAUACCUGCUUGAUUUGACGUUACUCGCAGAAGAAGCACCGGCUAACUCCGUGCCAGCAGCCGCGGUAAUACGGAGGGUGCGAGCGUUAAUCGGAAUUACUGGGCGUAAAGCGUACGCAGGCGGCUAAGUAAGUCAAAUGUGAAAGCCCCGGGCUCAACCUGGGAACUGCAUUUGAAACUGCUUAGCUAGAGUGCGACAGAGGGUGGUAGAAUUUCAGGUGUAGCGGCGAAAUGCGUAGAGAUCUGAAGGAAUACCAAUGGCGAAGGCAGCCACCUGGGUCGACACUGACGCUCAUGUACGAAAGCGUGGGUAGCAAACAGGAUUAGAUACCCUGGUAGUCCACGCCGUAAACGAUGUCUACUAGCAGUUU
rnacentral:rRNA from 1 species